rnacentral:lncRNA from 1 species
UUCAUGUAGGCAACUCCCUUUUACAUUGUUUGUCAUGUAUUAAACUGCGAUGCGCUAAACUGAUGGAUGAUUUGAAUACGUCCCCUUAAGAGAUGUUUGGGGUGGUUCAGAUUUUAAGGAUGGUUCAGAAUUUGUUAGGAGUUUGAAUCUUUUGAAGUGUUCGAAGUUUUAAGAGAAGUUUUAGCCGGCAGUUGCUGAUUCCUAGG